rnacentral:rRNA from 1 species
CCUACGGGUGGCAGCAGUGGGGAAUUUUGCGCAAUGCUCGUAAGAGUGACGCAGCGACGCCGCGUGAAUGACGAAGGCCUUCGGUACGUAAAGUUCUUUCAACAGGGAAGAAAAUGCAUAUAAGUAACUGAGUAUGUCUUGACGGUACCUGUAUAGGCACCGCCGGCUAACUACGUGCCAGCAGCCUCGGUAAUACGGAGGGGGCGAGCGUUGUUCGGAGUGAGUGGGCGUAAAGAGAACGUAGGCGGUGUUGUAAGUCAUUAGUCAAAGACUAGAGCUCAACUUUAGUAAGGCUAGUGAUACUAUAAUACUAGAGUAUAAGAGAGGAUUGCAGAAUUCCUGGUGUAGCGGUGAAAUGCGUAGAUAUCAGGAGGAAUACCGUUAGCGAAGGCGGCAAUCUGGCUGGAAACUGACGCUGAGGUGCGAAAGCGUGGGUAGCAAACAGGAUUAGAUACCCUGGUAGUC